AUGAAUGAGAAAAAAAUAAACUGGCCACUGCCAUCUUCAGGACUUACUCCUUCCAGUUAAAAAUGUUGGUCCAAAGAAAAGAGGAAAAAAAAAAAAAAGAAUAGAUUGUAUUUAUGCUGUGUUGUCGGUCAGACAACACACAUGUGCUAUGUAAUCUACGGUUUCCUAGGACUUGUGUGUUGAGGAAAAGAUGGUGGCAGAAUGAGAAUUACAGACCAAGGAAAAGCAAAAGUGUGAAGGCCUUGAGCGAGGAGGAGCAUGAAACUUCAGAAAUGAAAGGCAACAUAUUCACAGUUGAGAAAGGGACUUUUAGGAUACAGACAACUUUGGAGGGCCAUUAUUCUGCCUGCCACAGAGAUAUCAUCCAUAAGUGACUCGUCUCUAAAAAUUAAAGGAUAUGGCUGCUGUCCUUAAAAUCUUUCAAGCUGGCUGAGGAAUAAGGUAC
rnacentral:lncRNA from 10 species